rnacentral:rRNA from 1 species
UACAGAAGCAGCAAGCGUUAUUCAUCGUAACUGGGUAUAAAGCGUAUGUAGGCGGUUAAAAAGGUUACAACACAAGGAAAACUACAAUGGCUAGGUAGAAUGUGUGAAAAUAAAAACUAGAGUCAAGAGAGAGGAACAAGGAAUUCCUAAAGGAGUGAGGAAAUACUAAGAGAAUAGGAGGAACACAAAAGCGAAAGCAAGAAACCAUAUCAAGACAUGACGCUGAGGUACUAAAGUAGUGGGGAGCAAAUAGG